rfam:Pan troglodytes isolate Yerkes chimp pedigree #C0471 (Clint) chromosome 17, whole genome shotgun sequence.
GCCGGGCAUGGUGGUGCAUGCCUGUAAUUCCAGCUCCUUGGGAGGCUGAGGCAGGAGACUCACUUGAACCCGGGAGGCACAGGUUGCAGUGAGCUGAGAUCGCGCCACUGCACUCCAGCUUGGGCAACAGAGUGAGACUCUGUCUCAA